CGUAGGUGGCAAGCGUUGUCCGGAUUUAUUGGGUUUAAAGGGUGCGUAGGCGGCUUUGUAAGUCAGUGGUGAAAUAUGGCAGCUUAACUGUCAAGGUGCCAUUGAUACUGCAGAGCUUGAGUACAGAUGAGGUAGGCGGAAUUGACGGUGUAGCGGUGAAAUGCUUAGAUAUCGUCAAGAACACCUAUAGCGAAGGCAGCUUACUAAGCUGUAACUGACGCUGAGGCACGAAAGUGUGGGGAUCAAACAGGAUUAGAUACCCUGGUAGUCCACACUGUAAACGUUGAUUACUCGCUGUGUGCGAUAUACAGUACGCGGCCAAGCGAAAGCGCUAAGUAAUCCACCUGGGGAGUACGCCGGCAACGGUG
rnacentral:rRNA from 1 species